AUUGAACGCUGGCGGCAGGCUUAACACAUGCAAGUCGAGCGGAGAUGAGGUGCUUGCACCUUAUCUUAGCGGCGGACGGGUGAGUAAUGCUUAGGAAUCUGCCUAUUAGUGGGGGACAACAUUCCGAAAGGAAUGCUAAUACCGCAUACGCCCUACGGGGGAAAGCAGGGGAUCUUCGGACCUUGCGCUAAUAGAUGAGCCUAAGUCGGAUUAGCUAGUUGGUGGGGCAAAGGCCUACCAAGGCGACGAUCUGUAGCGGGUCUGAGAGGACGAUCCGCCACACUGGGACUGAGACACGGCCCAGACUCCUACGGGAGGCAGCAGUGGGGAAUAUUGGACAAUGGGCGGAAGCCUGAUCCAGCCAUGCCGCGUGUGUGAAGAAGGCCUUUUGGUUGUAAAGCACUUUAAGCGAGGAGGAGGCUACCUGGAUUAAUACUCUAGGAUAGUGGACGUUACUCGCAGAAUAAGCACCGACUAACUCUGUGCCAGCAGCCGCCGUAAAAC
rnacentral:rRNA from 1 species